GGAUUAGAUACCCUGGUAGUCCACGCUGUAAACGAUGAUCACUCGUUGUUGGCGAUAUACUGUCAGUGACUAAGCGAAAGUGUUAAGUGAUCCACCUGGGGAGUACGAUCGCAAGGUUGAAACUCAAAGGAAUUGACGGGGGCCCGCACAAGCGGUGGAGCAUGUGGUUUAAUUCGAUGAUACGCGAGGAACCUUACCAGGGCUUAAAUGUAGAUUGACACUUCGAGAAAUCGGAGUUCCUUCGGGCAAUUUACAAGGUGCUGCAUGGCUGUCGUCAGCUCGUGCUG
rnacentral:rRNA from 1 species